rnacentral:rRNA from 1 species
GACGUAGGGUGCGAGCGUUGUCCGGAUUUAUUGGGCGUAAAGAGCUCGUAGGCGGCUCGUCGCGUCGACCGUGAAAACCCGCGGCUUAACUGCGGGCUUGCGGUUGAUACGGGCGGACUAGAGUUCGGUAGGGGAGACCGGAAUUCCUGGUGUAGCGGUGAAAUGCGUAGAUAUCUGGAGGAAUACCGGUGGCGAAGGCGGCAUCCUGGACCGGCAUUGACGCUGAGGAGCGAAAGCUAGGGGAGCAAACGGG